AUCCUUGAGGGCCAUACAGAUUUGAUUAUGGCCAGAGAAAGCAUCCAUGAGCGAGGCAAGAUGGUGAUCCAAAGUGGCAGCUAUCAGUUGGUCGAUCUAAAGUAACGAGUAACUAUCCUUCGGACAUAUUUUAUUGAGGUCAAUGUAGUCAACAAACAUACACUACUUUUCAUUCGCCUUCUUGACCAGUACUAUAUUUGCUAGUCACUCGAGAUAGUUUACCUCUCGAACAAAGCCAACCUUUAGGAGCUUAUCUAUCUCUUCCUCUAUUGCUUUCUGAUGCUUCAAUGUGAAAAUCCUCUUCUUUUGCCUGACAGGAUAAUGCUUUGGAUCCAUAUUUAGAUAGUGAAUGAUAAUCUAUGGGUCUAUAUCUAGCAUAUCUGAGAUCGAUGAAGUAAAAAUAUCUGUAUUGGAUCAAAGAAAUGAGGCAAGAUGCUAAUGGUCCUCAUCAUUUAGGUUGGAACCGAUCGAAUAGUUCUAUCGGGUCAGACUCCUCUAGCAC
rnacentral:lncRNA from 1 species